UACGUAGGUGGCAAGCGUUGUCCGGAUUUACUGGGCGUAAAGAGCGCGCAGGCGGUCGUUCAAGUCGAGUGUGAAAGCCCCCGGCUCAACUGGGGAGGGUCAUUCGAUACUGAUCGACUGGAAGGCAGGAGAGGGAAGCGGAAUUCCCGGUGUAGUGGUGAAAUGCGUAGAUAUCGGGAGGAACACCAGUGGCGAAGGCGGGGUCUCUG
rnacentral:rRNA from 1 species